rnacentral:rRNA from 1 species
UACAGAGGGUGCGAGCGUUAAUCGGAAUCACUGGGCGUAAAGGGUGCGUAGGCGGGUCUUUAAGUCAGGGGUGAAAUCCUGGAGCUCAACUCCAGAACUGCCUUUGAUACUGAAGAUCUUGAGUUCGGGAGAGGUGAGUGGAACUGCGAGUGUAGAGGUGAAAUUCGUAGAUAUUCGCAAGAACACCAGUGGCGAAGGCGGCUCACUGGCCCGAUACUGACGCUGAGGCACGAAAGCGUGGGGAGCAAACAGGG